rnacentral:rRNA from 1 species
UCCAGGGUGUAAAUAUAAAAAGCUAGGGAACUACGAACAGGAAAGUUUAAAACUCAAAGAGCUUGGCGGUGCUGCACACAUAUUAGGGGAGCCUGUUCCGUAAGCGAUGAUCCGCGAGAAACCUGACCCUUUCUAAUAGCCUAUAUAUCGUCGUCGUCAGUCAACUUUUUAAGAAUAUAGGGGUAGGCGAGAUAGUGUGUGCGUGCUAUGAGUAGUUAUACAUGUGCAAUACUAUGAUGUCAGAUCGAGAUAUAGCCAAUGGAAGGGGGAGAAUGGGCUACAUUUUAAAUAUAAAAUCGGACAAUUAUUGAAAUAUGAUUGGUAAGGUGGACUUAAAAGUAAAAUUGUUUAUAGAGACAUUUUGAAUGUCUGGAGCAGCGUGUACAAAUCGCCCGUCACUCUCGUUGAAAAAUGAGAUAAGUCGUAACAUAGUAGAGGUACUGGAAAGUGCUUCUGG